rnacentral:rRNA from 1 species
CUGCGUCUCUAGGGACAUUGUGCACGCUUCAUUAGUUUCCACUUCAUACCCCUGUGCACCUUUGAUAGAUUUCGGUUUGGGUUAUCCUUUGGUUUUUCCUUUCUUAUUUGAAGGGUUUGUGGUUUCCUUAAAACCACCUCUAUACUAUCCCACACCCCAUGUGUGUGUUUUUAUGAAGGAUGGAUUAUGACGACGAGGCCAUGAUCCUUAAAAACUUAAUACUUUUUUCAACAACGGAUCUGUUGCUUCUCGCAUCGAUGAAGAACGCAGCAAACUGCAAUAAAUGAGGAGAGUUGAAUACUUCGGAGCAUCAUCUCAUCUUUGACCCCUCCUUGCCCCCGUUGUUCUUCAGAAGGGGACGGCUGUAUGAGUGUUAUAAACUUCUCAACUUCUAUGACUUUAUUGUUGUAGCUGUUUGGAUUGUUGGGGGUUGCUGGCUUCUUUCUUUGAAGUCGGCUCCUCUUAAAUGCAUUAGCGGGACUUUGUUGCCUCUGCGCAUAGUGUGAUAAUUAUCUACGCUAGACGCAUGCAAUUCUUAUAUUGUCCAGCUUUCUAAUCGUCUCAAGGGACAAUUACUUUGACAAUUUGACCUCAAAUCAGGUAGGACUACCCGCUGAACUUAAGCAUAUCA